rnacentral:rRNA from 1 species
AACGAACGCUGGCGGCAUGCCUAACACAUGCAAGUCGAACGAGACCUUCGGGUCUAGUGGCGCACGGGUGCGUAACGCGUGGGAACCUGCCCUUAGGUUCGGAAUAACUCCCCGAAAGGGGUGCUAAUACCGGAUAAUGUCUUCGGACCAAAGAUUUAUCGCCUUUGGAUGGGCCCGCGUUGGAUUAGCUAGUUGGUAGGGUAAAAGCCUACCAAGGCGACGAUCCAUAGCUGGUCUGAGAGGAAGAUCAGCCACACUGGGACUGAGACACGGCCCAGACUCCUACGGGAGGCAGCAGUGGGGAAUAUUGGACAAUGGGCGAAAGCCUGAUCCAGCAAUGCCGCGUGAGUGAUGAAGGCCUUAGGGUUGUAAAGCUCUUUUACCCGGGAUGAUAAUGACAGUACCGGGAGAAUAAGCUCCGGCUAACUCCGUG